rnacentral:tRNA from 1 species
UGCCGGAGUAGCUCAGUUGGUAGAGCAGGGCAUUCGUAAUGCCAAGGUCGUAGGUUCAACUCCUAUCUCCGGCAUC